rnacentral:rRNA from 1 species
CGGACGGGUGAGUAAUGUCUGGGAAACUGCCUGAUGGAGGGGGAUAACUACUGGAAACGGUAGCUAAUACCGCAUAGCGUCGCAAGACCAAAGAGGGGGACCUUCGGGCCUCUUGCCAUCGGAUGUGCCCAGAUGGGAUUAGCUAGUAGGUGGGGUAAAGGCUCACCUAGGCGACGAUCCCUAGCUGGUCUGAGAGGAUGACCAGCCACACUGGAACUGAGACACGGUCCAG